GUGCGGCUAGCUUUCGUUAGAUACUAUUUGUGUUUAAUUUUAAAUAAAAAAAAUUCAUAAUGAUUUAUGACUGCAUAAUAUGUACAAUGAAUGAGUAGGAUGCUAGAAUCCUCAUCAAGAGGAUUCAAAUGGAAUCCAAAUCUAUUUAAAUGUUGAUUAAUGUGCUUGUUUCUUAUUGGUGACACAUUAUUUGGUUUGCAAAUUUAGUUCAAAGAUUUUAUCUCCAUAGCUUUAUCAUUUUUUCUAUGGCAAAUUCUAACCAAAUUUUGUAAAUCAAAUUAUGUGGAUGGAAAUG
rnacentral:lncRNA from 1 species